UCCCUGGUGGCUCAGAGGUUAAAGCGUCUGCCUCCAAUGCAGGAGACCUGGGUUCUAUCCCUGGGUCGGGAA
rnacentral:tRNA from 1 species